CAGUACUUAUUAAUAAAGCAUUUGUUUCACGCCAGAAUAGUUUACGUCACAUGCAGGACGUGUCAACGUUCCAGUUUUCUCAAAUCUCCGUGGACUAAGACUUUAGUGGGUUGGCGCAUAUAACAAUACAGUUUCCGCUUCUGGAGGAUUGCUAGUCGCAACAGCGAAAUGCGUCACAAUUCGUUUAUUGAGAUCCUGUAGUGGUCUGAAAUUGUCCACUAUUUCCACAUCCCUUUCGGACUUUUUCGCCACGACAUCUACAUGUUCUACAGGAGGAUAGUAUUCGACGGUUUCUCGUAAAUGGCGGAAGAUUUCCAGCUGCUCUUCCGUGACCUUUAACGGCUGCUCCAUAACCGUCCAGAUAACCGCUUCCGCGCACGGUGGAGUCGUUAGCGAUCCGAUGUAACGAUAAUAUGACUGGUGUUGUGGCAGUAGGUCAAAUAGCGUCAGUUCAGGAAGACUGAUAUUAAUAGCGGCUAAAGCGUGGAAUAGACGAUCCAGGUGUUCAUUCUUUUCGUCGCCUUCUUGAGCCAGUUCGAACAUUACCGCAAUCACUGCGGUGCCGAUUGAGUCGGAUGAACUGGUGAUAUCGUACGGCUGCCAGUGCUCCAUUUCAUCGUGACUGCGGUGUACAAUGUGAAGCUGUUUCCAAAACCGAUUUGUUCCAAUAACAGCGAUACUUUUGUUUAUGGCUCAAGAUAUAUACAGCAAUUAUUUGAGUCUUAAGGUAUGCAAUAUUGUUCAAUUAAUAUACGUACUUCUAACGGAUACCGGCGUCCGUCAAUAACAUGCUCCGAUCCCCGGUUAUUGACGGCUCCCCAGUGGAAAUGCAUCUGCUGGAAGAAAUACGGAAUACUCAGACCGGCCGAGUGGAUUCCGGGGGUAUUUUUGAAGUUACCAGAAAACAGGACUACAUGAAUGGUGAAACAAACCAAAUCAUUAGAACCACAACAGGUGUGCAUAGUUGUUGUGCAGUUUGCUUUCACUGACCGACAUGUCCAGUGUUGGCAAUAGUCCAAAGAUCAUCUACAGCCCGCGCAGCGUAAUUGUAAUAGCCCACUUCGGUGAGAGAUCCGUCAGCUUGCGCUGUGCUGCUGUUGAUGGAUAUGGGGGAUUGUCGAGUUCCAUUGCAUCGCGGAUACCGAUCCGACCAUUUUGUCGGAGGAAGUUGCUGCACCUCUACAUAAAAAAAAAAUUUUAUUUUUCUUAACUAAAUAUCAGACAUAAAAAAAUCAACAUCAGUUGAAGCAAUAUCAUAAUGCAAACGGGAUGCAAACGUUU